GGAACUCUCAGCCAGUUCCAAAUGUUGCUAGAAAUAGAGCCCUGCUGGAUCUAUAUAUGGAGCUUCUCUGCCUUGAGGACCAAUUAGACUCAAAAGCACUUCAGUGGACAGAUUUAACCAAGAAACAGCUAACGGCAUCUGGAGCCCAAAAGAUCAGAAGACAUUUGUCCAAGUCAGAGAAGACUUCAAAAUGAAGAUAGUCUUGCUGCUAGUUGUACUAAGCAUCUGUGACUUAUUUGAGGUUCAAGGGGACGCAGGACAAUUCUUAAGGAUGAUAAGAAAAAUCACGGGAAAGAGGUUAUUUUAUCCUUAUGGCUUCACUAAAUGCCAAUGUAAAGAUCAAGAUAAAAGAACUACUGACAGGACAGAAGGAGAGCACUCAGUGGGUUCCUCCAUUUAGGUGCUGUUCUGCCCAUGACUGCUGCUAUUUAAAGCUGAAGAAGAAAGGCUGCAAACCCAAAAGAUUGAAAUACCAUUAUGUAAUCCAAGCUCAAUCCGUCCUCUGUGGGAAUGGGAACAAAUGUCAGAAGAAAGUCUGUGCCUGUGAUAAAGCAGCUGCCUACUGUAUGAAGAAAAAUGUGAAAAAUUACCAGGCUAUUUAAGGUGGGAAAUCUCCAAAGCUUUCCUCCUUCCUCAACAACAAUCGACAAUAAGUAGCCUCAGAGCUCCAACUUGAGAGCCAUCACUGCCCAAUCCUUUUCGGAAUGGUGUUGCUUUGCCAUCAGGACUUGCCAUUCACACUAAUUAAUGCAAUCAGUCAACAAAUCUUUAUUAAUUGCUUACUCUGAGCUAGUCAUUCUAAUAUAAAUUACCAACCUCAAUUCCAGAGUUCUGAUGGUAAAAUGUAUCUUCCUUCUCUCAGGAGAGAACUGAAAAAGGAGGGAUGUGGAAUCCAUACCUGUAGAAUGAUGCUGCUGGGACUUUUGAUUUGGUUUCUUUUACUGUUCCUUAUUGUUAUGAGGAGGGAAAUGAUUAUUAGGAAGUGACACUGAUACAGGAAAAAAAAUAUCAAUAAAAGAUU